rnacentral:rRNA from 1 species
UACGUAGGGGGCUAGCGUUGUCCGGAAUCAUUGGGCGUAAAGAGCGUGUAGGCGGCCCGGUAAGUCCGCUGUGAAAGUCGGGGGCUCAACCCUCGGAUGCCGGUGGAUACUGUCGGGCUCGAGUACGGAAGAGGCGAGUGGAAUUCCUGGUGUAGCGGUGAAAUGCGUAGAUAUCGUGAGGAAGACCAGUGGCGAAGGCGGGUUUCUGGAGAGUUCCUGACGCUGAGGCACGAAGGCCAGGGGAGCAAACGGG